rnacentral:rRNA from 1 species
AUUGAACGCUGGCGGCAUGCCUUACACAUGCAAGUCGAACGGUAACAGGUUAAGCUGACGAGUGGCGAACGGGUGAGUAAUGUAUCGGAACGUGCGCAGUCGUGGGGGAUAACUGCUCGAAAGAGCAGCUAAUACCGCAUACGACCUGAGGGUGAAAGCGGGGGAUCGCAAGACCUCGCGCGAUUGGAGCGGCUGAGAUCAGAUUAGGUAGUUGGUGAGGUAAAGGCUCACCAAACCGACGAUCUGUAGCUGGUCUGAGAGGACGACCAGCCACACUGGGACUGAGACACGGCCCAGACUCCUACGGGAGGCAGCAGUGGGGAAUUUUGGACAAUGGGCGCAAGCCUGAUCCAGCCAUGCCGCGUGCGGGAAGAAGGCCUUCGGGUUGUAAACCGCUUUUGUCAGGGAAGAAAAGGUUCUGGCUAAUACCUGGGACUCAUGACGGUACCUGAAGAAUAAGCACCGGCUAACUACGUGCCAGCCGCCGCAGUAAGAC